GUCACGGAUUGUAAACAAAGUAGAAACAAUACUUUAAUUAGUGAAUCGGUAAAAGUGAAAUAAAUUAUAAAAUAAAAAUAUUUAAAGGUACCGUGCCCGUAGCAAUAAAAGUUAAAAUUACCUACUACGACGUAAAUUUAAAAUUUACAAAGGUAUUCAAGAACCACCCACAUGGAGAAAAAUAAACAAAACAGAUGAAUAAAAUAUAGAAAUGCAACAAGUAAAAGUUGCCAAUUGGGUCGAGUAAAAGAAAACUGAUGCACAGACGAAGUAAAUCACUUAUGGCGCCGGGUUUUCCUAUAGACCUGCUGUGAACUCUCGGUACCGCCGGUGCCAGUCAUUCCGGUGGCCGAUGGAUAACCUUCUAUCAGUUUCUUUACCUCCGCCAAUGUAUCCACUUUGCGCCUUGUCUUAUCGGGAAGCAGAAUAACAAUUCUUCCCUCCACUGACCAGCAGCUCUUGAUUCCAAAAUGCUUACGAGCGGUGGUGAAAGCCAGAUGCCUUGGCCUAGUCAAAAAUUCUGACAUAGUAAUACCAGAACCUUUAAGACCUGUUUUGUUAUCCCAAACAUGGUGACGGUGCUCCAUAGCAGUAAAUCUAACGAGCACAGGGCGGGGUUUAGUACCAGGGGAGCCAAGACGGUGGCAGGCUUGUAGCUUGUCCUGUGGGAAGUCUGGUAGCUUCAGUUUGACAGAGAUGACUCGAAGAAUUGAGUCAUUAAGAUUUUCAUUCUUCUCCUCGGGAAGCCCAUGAAACAGAAGCACUUUUCUACGCAUUACCAUCUCAUGCCUGUCCUGUGCCAGUGUUAAUAGUUCCAACUGAGUUUUUAUUCUUGUAAUGGCACCCCAGAUGACAGAUUUAAAUUCAGUGUACUCACGGGAUAAUGUGGCAAUAUCAGGAUUGGCAGCAGGUCCAGUUUUCAUCCCUUCUAACUUCCUGUCAUACUCUGCCAUGCGGGAAGUGAAGAAUUUCUCAAGGUCUUCCAAAUUACUUGAGAGUUGUGCAUCCAUUAUGUAAAAAUAUGUAUAUAUGAACUUCCAGAUAUGAAUAAAUAAAAAUACCCAAGCGAAAUGCCAAGGAAUGACUAUGAAAUGAGAGCAGGUAACUAGCAACAUUUAAGGCUGAUGUUUAGAAGAAUAUGAAGAAUUGUUUAAAUGGUACUGAUUCCUGUUAGAUAAAUAAUUAGUUGUACAAUAAAUUUUAAAAUCUUUUUGCAAAUUUGUUUAAUACAUUGUAUUGACUAGAUUAUAUGAGUUACAAAAAAGUUUAAGAUGUUUAACAUAUUUUGUAAAAGGUAGAAAAAUAUCUUCGGAAACCAUUUUCUAUCCCAUAGGGGAAAAAGAGUUGAUAUAUCUUCUUCCUCCUGGUUACCUAUAGUCCCGGUGACAUCAUCACCACUCCGGAGAGGUACCCGAGGUACGCCAUGGACUAUGAUACUGGCUGAUGAUUGAGUAAGGUUUUACAAGAAGCGAUUGCCAGUUGGAAGCAACUGCCUCUAUAACGUAUGCCGGUCAGCUAAUGAUAUUGUAUAUACAAUAUGUUUAUUCAUCUGUUCAAAUCUAUUAAAUAUCUAGUAAAUGCUAUUUAAAUUAUACUUCGUAAAAAACUUAAGGCGUUUAAUGCUUAACAUAAAUGUACACCUAUUUAAAUAAAUUACAUUAAUUAAGGUAGAUUUAACAUAAUUAAGAUAAGCCAAAAUCAAGGCAGUUGUCAGAUAUAUUUUAGAGUUUUCUGGUUAAAAUUAUCAAAUGGUUAAAAUUUAUGUGGUAAUUGUACCUACUUAAUUUUAAGGAAAUUUGAACUGCGAAGAGAGAGAGACUGAUGGGUCACGUUCAGCCGUUGGCUUAGUGACGGAAUUGAGAUUCAAAUAGUGAAUAAAGUAACCCCUUAGUCGCCUUUUACGACAUCCACGAGAAAGAGGUGGAGUGGUCCUAUUCUCUUUUGUAUUGGUUAAAAAAAUCGAAAAAUUAAAAAACCAUUUAAUUAUUCAAAUUUUAAGCGCUCCUGUCGAACCCUGUUAUUUAGAUAUCAGUUUUAACCAACUGUUAAUGAGGGGCAGUUAAUUUAGCCCCAAAUUAUAAUUAAUUAAUAUUUAAAGUUGAUUUAUGUUUCAAAUUUUAUGGCCCAUAAAUCAUUUUCGUUUUGUAUAGUAUGAAUUUAACGAGGAUUUUAUCUUUUUUAAUGUAUAUUUUUAAAUGGUUUUGUCAUGUAUCUGUGGUUGAACAUUAUGCUUUUUGGCACUAUCUUUGAAUCUUAAUAGGCUUUAGUUAGAGUCUCGUGAUUGUUCUAUCUUCCCCGUAAGAGAUAAAGACGUGAUGUAAAUGUAUGUAUGCAAGAAAGCAGAGACUACAUCUUUCCAAUUGGCACGAUCUCUGCAUUCUUCUUUUGCUUCAUCCACUUUCAUAAUUCUCUUCAUGCAAGCUCGGCGGUUUUGGUUACUCUUGACCUGACCUUUUGCCAGGACGUCCUUUAUUUGAACAAGAUACGUCCGUCUAGGCCUUUUUACUCCCUAACCAUAACUUACUAUUUACACUCUCCAUAUUUGUAAGAAACAUAAUCCAAAAUAAUAGAACACAGACAUUUGUUUUAUUAAUUAUUUUGUUAGUUUUUUAGAG